GACGAACGCUGGCGGCGUGCUUAACACAUGCAAGUCGAGCGGAAGGGCCCUUUCGGGGGUACUCGAGCGGCGAACGGGUGAGUAACACGUGAGUAAUCUGCCUCUGGCUUCGGGAUAGCCACCGGAAACGGUGAUUAAUACCGGAUAUGACGCAUCACUGCAUGGUGUGUGCGUGGAAAGUUUUUUCGGCCAGGGAUGUGCUCGCGGCCUAUCAGCUUGUUGGUGGGGUAAUGGCCUACCAAGGCUUCGACGGGUAGCCGGCCUGAGAGGGUGACCGGCCACACUGGGACUGAGACACGGCCCAGACUCCUACGGGAGGCAGCAGUGGGGAAUCUUCCACAAUGGGGGCAACCCUGAUGGAGCAAUACCGCGUGCAGGAAGACGCUUUUCGGAGUGUAAACUGCUUUUCUGAAGGAAGAUUAUGACGGUACUUCAGGAAUAAGGACCGGCUAAUUACGUGCCAGCAGCCGCCGUAACAC
rnacentral:rRNA from 1 species